UUCUGUCUCAGGCUGUCGAUUCUGCUUCAGUUAGCUGAUUAAUGUAUAACAUCACCCAAAAACGCCUUAAAGCAAAAUAAAUGGUGUGUAAAACCUGCUUGAUGCUGUAGGAGGUUUGUCUGAGAUGUGAAGCUUGAGACAUGAUGAGAUCGGCAGUGGCGUGAGGCCCCUGGGAGCCACGCAGGUAAGAAUGUGCAGCAGAACCAAGGCACCGUGCUCUGCCUCCCCAGAAAAGCACAACAACAAAGAGCCCGCCGGCUGCAGAAGGGCUCAGGUAAUGCAGGAGAUAUUCAUCAUGCACUCUGAGCUGCCCAGUUUGGGCAUUUAUUAUACAGAGAGAAAGAGAUCAGGCCCAGGCUGUAUACAAAUACAGUUCAGCUCGCUACUGGGUUUGUAGCUUGUAUGCAGAGAGACUGAACACCCCCAGUCCAGGUCUAUAGCUCUUACACAGUAUGUGUGUGUGUGUGUGAGAGAGAGAGAGACGGACAGAUUAAAAGCGAGUGAGAAAGGCUCAGUCUGCAUCCAUAAACAGAGAGGAGACACUCUAAGUAUAAGACUCUAUGUUUGAGUAUUUUGUUAUAGUCACUAGACCGAUGCUCUUCUCCUACAGGCAGAUCUGAUAUUGAAGGGUUUCUGACAUGGCUGUUGGUCCUUGAAUGAUUGCCCUAGGCCCAGUGGAAGAGACAAA